rnacentral:lncRNA from 1 species
GCCAGAUGUGGAAAUUCUAUACCUUAUUGUCUGAAGGCGUGGCAGACGCAAAGAUUGACAUUAAACGGGAGUUCAUGUCGUCUCCCUCUAUAUUUACACCACUACAGCGUCCUCGGGCAAUUUAAAGACAUCCCAUCUAUUGGACGCUCCAUCACUAGCUGCAAUAGACAAAACUUAGAGGAGCCAUUUCCACUAUUUCAUCUAUUAAAACAAGUAAGAAAAUAGAAAGGCUUGGAAGCAAUGGUGUUCCACCCAGAACAAGCCGACUCAAGUGAGGCAACGAGUCAGGAAGCGCACCAUGGUCGGAUGAACGAAGAAGAAAAAUCUGUUGCAUGGAAUGGAUGUAUGUUAUUAGAUUAAAAUAACAAAAUUUAUGUAUGGAUAGAAUCACAAAUGAAUUCUGAAACAUUUUCUCAUAACAGUAUAACGCACACAUGUACAUAAGUUAUCGUGUUGUUAUACGGUUCCGUUGCAACGUACGGGCACUCACCUAGUCAUAUAAUAGAGAAUAAUCUCCACCUUGGAUUUUUAACAUAUUUUUUAUGUUAUUUUUAUAUUGUCAUAAAAUGCACUCAUAAUAAAAAUUCCAGC